UACGUAGGGUGCGAGCGUUGUCCGGAAUUAUUGGGCGUAAAGAGCUCGUAGGCGGUGUGUCACGUCGGCCGUGAAAACCUGCAGCUUAACUGUGGGCGUGCGGUCGAUACGGGCAUCACUGGAGUUCGGCAGGGGAGACUGGAAUUCCUGGUGUAGCGGUGAAAUGCGCAGAUAUCAGGAGGAACACCGGUGGCGAAGGCGGGUCUCUGGGUCGAUACUGACGCUGAGGUGCGAAAGCGUGGGGAGCAAACAGG
rnacentral:rRNA from 1 species